rnacentral:lncRNA from 1 species
AUCUUCUUCUUCUUCUUCUUCUUCUUCACUCUCUCUCGAGUCCUACAACAAUGUUGGAGAAGAAUCCGACUUCAAAAGCCCGCGCCGGUUACCGUGUAGAAAGAUGAGAUCUAGAACGGAGCUCCGACACGAUGGCGACAUCGCCGCUGCCACUGCCUCUCGUCGCUCAUCAUCACCAUCUACGAACCUGUCACAUGCCGCGCUCGUCGGCCAGAUCCACGUCCCCGUCAACGCCGUGUUCAUCUCCGGCAUGGAGCGCCGUCACAGAUCUUGAUGUUAGAGUAAGUCGUAGAUCUAAUUCGGUCGGGGUUCUUGUCAAAUUGUAUUUUUCCUUCUGAGAUCAUCAAAUUGCUCUAUGGUACUAUUGAAUGGGAAGCAUUGCUUCUUAUUGUGAUAGAAGCAUUUGUGACUUGAUUUUGUGACAGGGAUUCAGCUUUACUACAUGCACUAUUGGGACCGCAAUGACCAUAAAAAUCACAGUUAUGAAUGUUGCCACAGCAGCUGUUGAAGUUGCCCUGGAGCACUCAUCCACAUCCUGAAUUUUACUGAGCUGUCCGAGACACUUGUGACAACAUAAACCUCAUCAUCAUCAAAGUCGUAAGAAAGGAAUAACGCCAAUCCACCUAUAUCUGGAUACUCUGUUCUUGUAUCCUUGCCGACGAACACAGAACUUCUACAAUACGGAAGAGUUCCGUUCCAGAUAAAGCCCUGAAGUGGUAAUUAAGGAUCAAUGCCGAAGCUCUGCCACAAGGUGACUUCUUCAAAGCUCAGAACAAGGUUUUCGAAAUCCGCUGGUAGUCCAGUUGUGUGAUUUAUUGAAGAUUUCAAGUUUUUUUUUAAUUUUUUUAUAUAAAAAAUAAAUUACAAAGAAAAACCUCUCGGACAUCCUAAAUUAUGAAAGUUUAAAAGGAAUGCAUUCUGAGCAGCUUGAAGAUUUCAAGUUUUCAACCAUGAGACGUCAGUUGAUUUCCUUGAUUUUUUUUUUUAUUUUUUAUUUUGUUGAACAACUUUUUCUCACACAAUAUUUUUCUUUCACUUCUGGAAGGUCCAACAUAAGUCAUUCAACAAGACGAUACAUUAGUCUUUCAUCUUGAGAAGGAAGUUUACAGUUUAGCUUAUAAAAGCUGCAAAUAAUCAAACAUUUUUUUUAUCACAAGCAGAAUACGAAAUAAGAUUUGUCGACAUACAAAUGAUGAGGCCUGAUGAAGCAUGAGAUCUGUGCAACUAGUAUCAACCAUACCAUAAUAAUACCUUCUUUUUUCCCCCAUUUUCUUAAUGAUCCGCCUUUGAAAGCUAACACUAAUAUUGAAGCUCUAUCGAGGUUCUGGCAAAGUAAUAGUGACUACAUUAUUGGAAUAAAUGGUAACAGGAUUUGAAUUCCUACUUGUUGAAAAAGCAGGUUCUUUGGAGGGUGGAAGUGAGGUAGCUUCUUCAGCCUCGAGCAUAUGAAUCACUAAAGACAUUGUCGGUCGAUCAGCUGGAGCUUCUUGAACACACAAAAGCCCGACAUGGAUGCACCUCAAAGCUUCAUGAAUCCG